rnacentral:rRNA from 1 species
UACGGGGGGAGCAAACGUUGUUCGGAAUCACUGGGCGUAAAGGGCGCGUAGGCGGCCCUGCAAGUGGCGUGUGAAAUCCCCUGGCUCAACCAGGGAACUGCGCUCCAAACUGCAGGGCUUGAGGACAGUAGAGGAAACUGGAAUUCCAGGUGUAGCGGUGAAAUGCGUAGAUAUCUGGAGGAACACCAUUGGCGAAGGCGAGUUUCUGGGCUGAUCCUGACGCUGAGGCGCGAAAGCUGGGGGAGCAAACAGG